CGUUGACGCUAGGGGUCCCCUCGCAAUGCUGUGGCGAGGCGGUGAGAUCACACCCUUGGUACCUGUGCGGAUAAUGCCGGCGCAGGGAAGCGUGCUCCGCUCGAA
rnacentral:ncRNA from 1 species